GAUGAACGCUGGCGGCGUGCCUAAUACAUGCAAGUCGAGCGAACAGACGAGGAGCUUGCUCCUUUGACGUUAGCGGCGGACGGGUGAGUAACACGUGGGUAACCUACCUAUAAGACUGGGAUAACUUCGGGAAACCGGAGCUAAUACCGGAUAAUAUUUCGAACCGCAUGGUUCGAUAGUGAAAGAUGGCUUUGCUAUCACUUAUAGAUGGACCUGCGCCGUAUUAGCUAGUUGGUAAGGUAACGGCUUACCAAGGCAACGAUACGUAGCCGACCUGAGAGGGUGAUCGGCCACACUGGAACUGAGACACGGUCCAGACUCCUACGGGAGGCAGCAGUAGGGAAUCUUCCGCAAUGGGCGAAAGCCUGACGGAGCAACGCCGCGUGAGUGAUGAAGGUCUCCGGAUCGUAAAACUCUGUUAUUAGGGAAGAACAAACGUGUAAGUAACUGUGCACGUCUUGACGGUACCUAAUCAGAAAGCCACGGCUAACUACGUG
rnacentral:rRNA from 1 species